CCAAAGCCAAGUGAGCAGGAUUCUCCAUCUCAUACACUCUUAUUUAAUUGGCUUAAUGAGUUUGGGCUGAUGUGACCGAGUGAUCAAUCAGAUGAGGAUUCUGUUUUGUCCAUUAUUUGAGGGCAAGAGGAUGACAAGGUGACUGGACUGUGG